rnacentral:lncRNA from 1 species
GCCUCUCCGGUCUCUGGCACUGGCCCACUGCACCGUGUUUGUGACAACAGACUCCGUGAGUACGUGACUUGUGAGCCUCCUGCCUCUCUCUCUCUCUCUCUCUAAUUUCUGCAAAAUUGGUUCAGUUCGUGAGCUCCUCCCUCGCAUGUGAAGUUCUUUAUUCUCUUUUAGUUUCGUGCUUCCUAUGGUAUUGUCAUUAUUAAUUGUUAAUACUGUCACUUCCUUUCUGUAUUAUUAUCUUGUUUAAGUGGAUGCUUCUGUAGUUGUUAGGAGAGUGCUUCUUUAGGAGAUAAGUGCGUUUAUAUACAAACUUUGUGCUAACAUUAGUAUAGUGUUUAUUCAGUUUAGCCUGCUUGUAGCUUUUUAGCAUUCUCAUUGUGAUUUUACAUAGAUAUGGCUUUGCUGUUAUUGAGAAAAAAUGAAGAUGAAUUUGUUUAUAUUAAUGAGUCUUGGUUUGACAGAAAUUUUUUAAUUCAAUGACAUACAUAGGUAAUAUACAAUCAAAACACUAACACAGUUUUGAGAAUAAUCAUUUGUGCAAUUUGAAUGAUCGAAUAGAACUCCAUGUAGACAGUUUCAGUCGUACUACCUUAACUUCACUGCUCUACUACAUCUUGGAUGAGAUAUAUCGUUGAAUUUGUACUGAGAAUUUAGGAAGUUGUAUAAUCUGCAUACACAUCAAAUCAACGAGGUAUACGAAUUGGGAAGGAACAUGUACUACCAGAAUCCGCAGCAAGCAGUUGUUGCUUGCUUCGUGAGCCUAUACUUGGUAAACUCCCUGGGCUGAGAAGAAAGCUUAGAAUUCGAUUUAGGAAAUUGAACAAUUAGGGAUUGUGGUUUUGUGGAGUGUAGAUUUUGGAAGUAUAAUUAUCUUGGUGGUAUUGAGUAAUGCAGUCCUCCUCUAUGGAAUUAUGAAAUAAUUUUAAAUUUAAACUUGCCAAGUUUUGGUCAUUUUUGUCUCAAAGUUGUCAUGUUCCUUUUUAAUUUGGUCACUGGAUGUCAAACAAUUUGUAUGCUAAGGAGACAAGUCAUGAGUAGAGAACUUGUUAUGUAUCCUCUUUUUGAAGGGUUAAGGCAAUGUUUUUCAUUUACUGGGUUGUUAUGCUAUUCCAUAUCAACUUAUAUUGUUUUUGUUGAAUUUGAAAGGGGAAUACUUAAUAUGCUACCAUGAAAAGAUUCUCACCACUUCAAAGAGUUGAUGGAAGAAAUUGUUUAUUUAUUUAUUUAUUAAUCAUCAACUCAUCCUCAGAGUGUUUUUAGGCUCCUCCAAAGGAGGAUGAUGUGGGUUAGGAUCCCUGACCAUACUACAUACAUGGGGGGAGGGGCAGAGGCCUGACCUCCAACAAAGCAGCAAAAAUACAUAAGAAUUAGGACAAGAAAAUAUCAAUUAUUUAUUCAUUCAAAAGUUGUCCUUAUUACAAUGUAAAAGAUUCCUUUAUAUAGGUUUUAAAGAUUCUAUUCUAAGAAAGAAAUAUCUAAUAAAAGCUAGUAAAUCAGCCAUAAUAAUGUUUCGUAAAAUAUAUUUUAAAACUAAAAACUAAAUAUAAUAAAAUCUCUUUUAAUGUUGCAUUACUUAUGAAAUAACAUAUUAGCUAUUAAAAGAUCACCAAACAAUCAGCAUAGCACAAGAAAACAAAGGAUUGGUAGCUAAAUUUACUAUCAUACGGCACCUACUAAAAGUCUAAAACCCAUAGAAAAGUAUUAAAUAUUUCAUGUCCUACAAUAUGAUUCUUUAUGUAGGCAACUUAUCACGAAACAUUUGAAACCUAAAUUGCACUACUAUUUUCUAGUAAACAGUUCCGACGUUUUUAUGUUUUUUUAACUGAUGUAAACCACUAGAACGAAGUAAGAACUGCUACUACUUCCAAUAGGAUUCUUGUAUUUUCUGCUAUUCUAAGGUUGGUUGAAAGUGAUUAUAGAGUUUGGAUGGGUAUUGAAAGGUUACGGCAUGUAUGAAUUGGAUGGAAAAGGUGAGGUUGGGUGUUUGGAUUUGAGAAGGCAUAGGUCAAAUGAGAACGAAUUUCACUAAUACGAAAUUGACGCAGGAGCAUAUAAUUUGUUAAUAAACAAGAGAAAUAACAAAAAGAAAGGUGGGCCAGAGAAGAGAAAUUUUGAGGACAAGAAAAUCAAUCUUUAUUAAUUACAAUGAAUAAGCCCCUCUAUUUAUGGAGUAAAUAACCUAAGAAGAAGUUAAGAAGAAAAAAACUUCUAAUAAACUAUAAUUAUAUCAAAAUAAAUCUAAUCUAAUCUAAUUGAAAUUAAACUCUAUUCUAAACUUCUAUUUAACCUAUAACUCCUUCUUUAUUCCUAUCUUGAUCUCCAUCAAUAUGGUACCUAAAAAUACAACGAACAAAAGUUCAGCUUAUUUUUCUUUCUUAGCCUUUUCCAACAUUUUAUGGUCAAUCUUAUCAAACAUGCCACUAAAGUUCACCAAUGUCACAACCGAAAUCUUGAAUAAAUUUUAAAAGGCCUUCGGAUAAGGAAGUGAAUAGCAACACUAUCAACAAAACCAACUCCCGAGCAGAGAGUCUACUGCAAGUCUGUGAUCAUUCACACCAUUGUAGUGACAAAUUUAACACAAUGAGUUUGACACGAACAAUCAAAUUCAACAAAAACAUUAUCCACACAAUAAGAUGAAACUAAACGGGAAAAAAAAGGAUUAUUCUAGAAAAGUAGCAAAUAAACUAUAUGCAAGUGUGCACACAAAAUCAGUAAUUAAGUUAUUGUGUGCAUGCUCAUGCGUAUACAUUUAAAUAAGGCAAAGGAUGUACUUAUUUUUCUUUUAAAAAGGAGAAAAAAGGAAAUUAAAAAACAAAGCUGACCUGCUUCAUUGCUGGCAAAACCUUUGCUCAAGGCCUGCAACAAUGACCUUUGGGUACUUGGAGUGCGUACCACACACUUUGUGCCUUGAAUAGUAAGCCUUAGCACCACUCAGAUCUGCCUCACACCCUUCCACUUGGCACCUUGGUGGCUGGCCACCUUGCACCACGCCGCUUCUCCUCUUCUUAGUAGGUGAUGGGGGAGGUAGUCCGGCGGCCUUGGGCGGCAGUGAAGGCGGCCCACCACCAAAUUUGUCCUGCACUCCAACACCUACAUCUUCAAAGUAGAUUUUCUUGCCAAACUUCAAGCCAUUGAGUGAUUCUGACCUACCAGAAGUAGAUGAAGAAGAAGAAGCAGAGGCUGAACCAAGUUCCAUUCUUGUUGUCUGGAACCCGUUCAUCAGUGCCUACUGAGAUAGUCUAAUGAAUACCACGUGCAUUAAUACCACGUUUCAUCAAGUGUAUCUUGAUGAAACUGUUGUAUUUCUUUUUGCAUUUCUUUUCAUGUUUUGAUAAGUGAUGGUGACUGGGUCUUGUUCACUCAUAAAUACACUGCAUUUACAUAUGGCAGUAUGCUCAUUACACCUCGUCUAUAGAAGUAGUUGAGGAAAGGAGAAAGAUUAAGUGGGGUGUCCUCAAUAUAGAGUUUCAUGGAUUUUAAAACUCAAUAUAAAUUGAAGUUUUCUCAAUUUAGAGUAAAAUAUAAUUCAUUAAAAUGUGAGUGUCCUCAAUCUAGAUAUUUAGAAAUACUUCUAAAUUUAGGUGUCCUCGAUUACUAGUUGAUUUAAAAGGAUUUCGUUGAUUAGAUAGAAUAUGAUGGAUUUUGAAAGAUUUCAAGCCAUAAAUAUAAAUACAAAAAUUGUGGAACAGUUUUAUCCCAAUCGAGGACAUACAAUUCAUUCCCUCUGUUUUUGAAUCAGAAUUGUGCAAACCGACAUAACUUUUGAAUUUCAGAAGUUUUGAGUGUUUACAGUUUGAAAUGUGAGUUGAUUAAUUUACAUUUUGUGCUUCCUAAUAUUAGAUAUGUUUUGCUUACUACAGUUUUGUCGUCAAUUGCUAUUGUCUUAGUCAAAGUUGGUGUUUUGGCUUAGCAUAUUUGUACAUUGUUGUCUUCAAUUGAUAUUGUCUUGAAUUGCUAUUGUCUAAGUUAGAGCUGGUGUUUUGUAGUCUGGCUAUGACCGUUGAUGUGUACUUAUCAUAUUUGCACGUCGAAAACUGUAUCAUGCACUACUUCGAAAAUGUACACAAUGUUUUACACUAUCACUCUCCAUGCACUGACAUGAAGUGUUAAAUGACUUACCAACGAAGUGUCGUUCCCAACAGUUCGCAACAAAAAUUCUCGACAGAUGGAAUAAUUGACAGAUGAACUGUCGUUCCCGAUAGUUAGGCUCAGUAAUUCUCGACAGAUGAGCCUCUCCACCGAUGAACUGUCGGGAAUGAGAGUUCAUUUGUUCCCUAGUUAUGCAAGUUGAAUUUUGGUUCCGACAGUGCACGUAAGUUUCGCAUUAAAAAUACUAUUAUGCUAUGAUGUCAGGAUUUUGUUCAUUGAUCCGUCGUUGCAACAUCAUACGUGUGUUUCACAUUACUAUUACUCAAACGUAUGAUCUCACGAUUUGUAUAGUGGUGCCAACAUUGCAUGUGUGCUUUUGCAUUAACAUAAUUGCAAUGCUAUGAUCCGGACAUUUGUUGAUUGAUUAGUCAAUGCACCUUGUUCGUUGAAAUGUGGUUCUAUUAUUUCCGUCCCGACGUGUCGUGUGUCUUCAAAUACUACCAUCUGACGUAUUAAAUUUAUGUUCAACUGCAGGAGGGUGCAUGGAUUUUGAAUAUCUGGUUCCAAAAAAUGCGCGGCUGAGGGCCCACAUCUCACAGCGAAGCAAUCUACGGUACGUGAAGACAGUCCUGGAGCAUUUCGAUGAGCGGCAGCGUACGGACUUCCGUAACUCAUGCCUAGGGUUCUUAUCCGAGGUUCGAGAUCUCCAAUUCUCAGCCCAACUAAUCCAGCAGCUCGUUUUUCGCUGCAUAUGAACUGAAAAGGCCAGCGAAAUAUGGUUUAAAGGGCAAGGCCACUUAGCCAGGUUUGGCCUGCAAGAGUAUGCUCUCGUCAUGGGUUUAAUGUGUGGUCUUCUUUCAGAUGACGCCGUGAUAGACCGAGUUCUACAAAAGAAGAGGUUGAAGGAUAAAUACUUCAAAUCAACGGAGAGGAUUUCGUGUGGUGAACUUGAGAAGGC